GACGUAGGGCGCAAGCGUUGUCCGGAUUUAUUGGGCGUAAAGAGCUCGUAGGCGGCCUGUCGCGUCGACCGUGAAAACCCGCAGCUCAACUGCGGGCUUGCGGUCGAUACGGGCAGGCUGGAGUUCGGUAGGGGAGACUGGAAUUCCUGGUGUAGCGGUGAAAUGCGCAGAUAUCGGGAGGAACACCGGUGGCGAAGGCGGUUCUCUGGGCCUUACCUGACGCUGAGGAGCGAAAGCGUGGGGAGCGAACAGG
rnacentral:rRNA from 1 species